UGCUUUGUAGCUCAGUGGUAGAGUGCUUACCUCUCAUGCAUGAGGCCCUGGGUUCGAUCCUCAGCACCACAA
rnacentral:tRNA from 1 species